GGUUAAGCGACUAAGCGUACACGGUGGAUGCCCUGGCAGUCAGAGGCGAUGAAGGGCGUGCUAAUCUGCGAUAAGCGCCGGUAAGGUGAUAUGAACCGUUAUAACCGGCGAUACCCGAAUGGGGA
rnacentral:rRNA from 1 species